rnacentral:lncRNA from 1 species
AAAAAAGGGAUUUUUUUGAGUAUUUUAGAAAGGGUCGGUUAGGAGAGUGAGGUAUCUGUAAUUUAAUAACUAUAAGCCAACCCUUCUAGAUGUUUCGAUGCUUGAUUCUCGAAUAGGAUUGAAUCUAAGAUGAAUGCUUAGUUUACGUUAUGGAAGAAAGACAUGUAUAUGUGAUAUUAGAUAUUGACUAGUGCUAGUUAUAUAUGAAAUGAACUAAAGAUAUAUUUUACUACUCUAGGGUGAAUCUAAGAUGAAUGCUUGGUUUACGUUAUGGAAGAAAGACAUGUAUAUGUGAUAUUAGAUAUUGACUAGUGCUAGUUAUAUAUGAAAUGAACUAGAGAUAUAUUUUACUACUCUAGGGGAUUUUAAUAGACUAGAAGUCCAUCCGGCCCCUUGUGACUGUGAAUUGAA